rnacentral:rRNA from 1 species
UACAGAGGUCCCGAGCGUUGUUCGGAUUCACUGGGCGUAAAGGGUGCGUAGGCGGUCGGGUAAGUCUGAUGUGAAAUCUCACAGCUUAACUGUGAAACUGCAUUGGAUACUAUUCGGCUUUGAGGUGCUGGAGGGGGGACUGGAAUUCGUGCGUGUAGCAGUGAAAUGCGUAGAUAAUCGAGAGGAACACCAGUGGCGAAGGCGAGUCCCUGGACAGGUCCUGACGCUGAGGCACGAAAGCUAGGGGAGCAAACAGG